rnacentral:rRNA from 1 species
GACGAACGCUGGCGGCGUGCUUAACACAUGCAAGUCGAGCGGUAAGGCCCUUUCGGGGGGUACACGAGCGGCGAACGGGUGAGUAACACGUGGGUGACCUGCCCUCAGCUCUGGGAUAAGCCUGGGAAACCGGGUCUAAUACUGGAUAUGACUCCAUGACGCAUGUUGUGGGGUGGAAAGCCUUGUGCGGCUGAGGAUGGGCCCGCGGCCUAUCAGCUUGUUGGUGGGGUGAGGCCUACCAAGGCGACGACGGGUAGCCGGCCUGAGAGGGCGACCGGCCACACUGGGACUGAGACACGGCCCAGACUCCUACGGGAGGCAGCAGUGGGGAAUCUUGCGCAAUGGGCGAAAGCCUGACGCAGCGACGCCGCGUGAGGGAUGACGGCCU